CAGUCGCCGCGGGAAUACGUAGGGUGCAAGCGUUAAUCGGAAUUACUGGGCGUAAAGCGUGCGCAGGCGGUUCGUUAAGACAGAUGUGAAAUCCCCGGGCUUAACCUGGGAACUGCAUUUGUGACUGGCGAGCUAGAGUAUGGCAGAGGGGGGUAGAAUUCCACGUGUAGCAGUGAAAUGCGUAGAGAUGUGGAGGAAUACCGAUGGCGAAGGCAGCCCCCUGGGCCAAUACUGACGCUCAUGCACGAAAGCGUGGGGAGCAAACAGGAUUAGAUACCCCCGUAGUCCCUGUCUCUUAUAC
rnacentral:rRNA from 1 species